GGUUAAGCGACCAAGCGUACACGGUGGAUGCCCUGGCAGUCAGAGGCGAUGAAGGACGUGCUAAUCUGCGAAAAGCGCCGGCGAGGUGAUAUGAACCCUUGACCCGGCGAUGUCCGAAUGGGGAAACCCAGUGUGAUUCGUCACACUAUCGUUAGCUGAAUACAUAGGCUAACGAGGCGAACCGGGGGAACUGAAACAUCUAAGUACCCCGAGGAAAAGAAAUCAACCGAGAUUCCCCCAGUAGCGGCGAGCGAACGGGGAGGAGCCCAGAGCCUGAAUCAGCUUGUGUGUUAGUGGAAGCGUCUGGAAAGUCGCACGGUACAGGGUGAAAGUCCCGUACACGAAAACGCACAGGCUGUGAGCUCGAUGAGUAGGGCGGGACACGUGGUAUCCUGUCUGAAUAUGGGGGGACCAUCCUCCAAGGCUAAAUACUCCUGACUGACCGAUAGUGAACCAGUACCGUGAGGGAAAGGCGAAAAGAACCCCGG
rnacentral:rRNA from 1 species